GAUGAACGCUGACAGAAUGCUUAACACAUGCAAGUCAACUUGAACUUCGGUUUGGGUGGCGGACGGGUGAGUAACGCGUAAAGAACUUGCCUCACAGCUAGGGACAACAUUUGGAAACGAAUGCUAAUACCUGAUAUUAUGAUUAUAUGGCAUCGUAUAAUUAUGAAAGCUAUAUGCGCUGUGAGAGAGCUUUGCGUCCCAUUAGCUAGUUGGAGAGGUAACAGCUCACCAAGGCGAUGAUGGGUAGCCGGCCUGAGAGGGUGAUCGGCCACAAGGGGACUGAGACACGGCCCUUACUCCUACGGGAGGCAGCAGUGGGGAAUAUUGGACAAUAGACCGAGAGUCUGAUCCAGCAAUUCUGUGUGCACGAUGAAGUUUUUCGGAAUGUAAAGUGCUUUCAGUUGGGAAGAAAAAAAUGACGGUACCAACAGAAGAAGUGACGGCUAAAUACGUG
rnacentral:rRNA from 1 species